rnacentral:rRNA from 1 species
AUUGAACGCUGGCGGCAUGCCUUACACAUGCAAGUCGAACGGCAGCACGGGAGCAAUCCUGGUGGCGAGUGGCGAACGGGUGAGUAAAGCAUCGGAACGUGCCCAGUCGUGGGGGAUAACGUAGAGAAAGCUACGCUAAUACCGCAUACGAGCUGUGGCUGAAAGCGGGGGAACGUAAGGCCUCGCGCGAUUGGAGAGGCCGAUGUCAGAUUAGGUAGUUGGUGAGGUAAAGGCUCACCAAGCCUACGAUCUGUAGCUGGUCUGAACGGACGGCCAGCCACACUGGGACUGAGACACGGCCCAGACUCCUACGGGAGGCAGCAGUGGGGAAUUUUGGACAAUGGGCGCAAGCCUGAUCCAGCAAUGCCGCGUGCAGGAUGAAGGCCUUCGGGUUGUAAACUGCUUUUGUACGGAGCGAAACGGCUUCCACUAAUACUGGGGGCUAAUGACGGUACCGUAAGAAUAAGCACCGGCUAACUACGUGCCAGCAGCCGCCGUAAUAC